AACUGGGACUGCAACUCAGACCCCCACCACCACCAAAAGAGGGACUCCAACUCCGACCACUAGUGAGACCCCAACCACAAGACCUACCACCACUUCAACUGGGACUCCGACUCAGACCCCCACCACAACAACAAUAGGGACUCCAACUCCGACCACUACAGAGACCCCAACCACAACACCUACCACCAUUUCAACUGGGACUCCGACUCCGACCCCCACCACAACCACAAGAGGGACUCCAACUCCGACCACUAGUGAGACCCCAACCACAACACCUACCACCACUUCAACUGGGACUGCAACUCAGACCCCCACCACCACAACAGAGGUUCCAACUCCGACCACUACAGAGACCCGAACCACAACACCCACCACCACUUCACCUGGGACUCCACCUCCGACCCCCACAAAAGCCACAACAAAGAUUCCAACUCCGACCACUACUGAGACCCCAACCACAACACCCACCACCACUUCAACUGGGACUCAGACUCCGACCCCCACCACAACCACAAGAGGGACUCCAACUCCGACCACUAGUGAGACCCCAACCACAACACCUACCACCACUUCAACUGGGACUGCAACUCAGACCCCCACCACAACCACAAUAGGGACUCCAACUCCGACCACUACAGAGACACGAACCACAACACCCACCACCACUUCACCUGGGACUCCAACUCCGACCCCCACAAAAGCCACAACAAAGAUUCCAACUCCGACCACUACGGAGACCCCAACCACAACACCCACCACCACUUCAACUGGGACUCCGACUCCGACCCCCACCACAACCACAAGAGGGACUCCAACUCCGACCACUAGUGAGACCCCAACCACAACACCUACCACCACUUCAAGUGAGACUGCAACUCUGACCCCCACCACAACCACAACAGAGGUUCCAACUCCGACCACUACAGAGACCCGAACCACAACACCCACCACCACUUCACCUGGGACUCCAACUCCGACCCCCACAAAAGCCACGACAAAGAUUCCAACUCCGACCACUAUGGAGACCCCAACCACAACACCCACCACCACUUCACCUGGGACUCCAACUCCGACCCCCACAAAAGCCACGACAAAGAUUCCAACUCCGACCACUAUGGAGACCCCAACCACAACACCCACCACCACUUCAACUGGGACUCCAACUGUGACCCCCAGCACAACCGCAACAGAGAUUCCAACUCCGACCAGUACAGAGACCCGAACCACAACACCCACCACCACUUCACCUGGGACUCCAACUCCAACCCCCACAAAAGCCACAACAAAGAUUCCAACUCCGACCACUACGGAGACCCCAACCACAACACCCACCACCACUUCAACUGGGACUCCAAGUCCGACCCCCACCACAACCACAAUAGGGACACCAACUCUGACCACUACAGAGACCCCAACCAUAACACCCACCACCACUUCAACAGGGACUCUGACUCCAAUCCCCACCACAAGCACAAGAGGGACUCCAACUCCGACCACUAGUGAGACCCCAACCACAACACCUACCACCACUUCAACUGGGACUGCAACUCAGACCCCCACCACCACAACAGAGGUUCCAUCUCCGACCACUACAGAGACCCGAACCACAACACCCACCACCACUUCACCUGGGACUCCAACUCCGACCCCCACAAGAGCCACAACAAAGAUUCCAACUCCAACCCCUACGGAGACCCCAACCACAACACCCACCACCACUUCACCUGGGACUCCAAGUCCGACCCCCACCACAACCACAAGAGGGACUCCAACUCCGACCACUAGUGAGACCCCAACCACAACACCUACCACCACUUCAACUGGGACUGCAACUCUGACCCCCACCACAACCACAACAGAGGUUCCAACUCCGACCACUACAGAGACCCGAACCACAACACCCACCACCACUUCAACUGGGACCCCGACUCCAACCCCCACCACAACCACAAGAGUGACUCCAACUCCGACCACUAGUGAGACCCCAACCACAACCCCUACCACCACUUCAACUGGGACUCCAACUAUGACGCCCACGACAACCACAACAGAGAUUCCAACUCUGACCACUACAGAGACCCCAACCACAUCACCCACCACCACUUCAACUGGGACUACAACUGUGACCCCCAGCACAACCACAACAGAGAUUCCAACUCCGACCACUACAGAGACCCGAACCACAACACCCACCACCACUUCAACGGGGACUCCAAGUCCGACCCCCACCACAACAACAAUAGGGACUCCAACUCCGACCACUACAGAAACCCCAACCACAACGCCUACCACCACUUCAACUGGGACUCUGACUCCGACCCCCACAAGAGCCACGACAAAGAUUCCAACUCCAACCCCUACGGAGACCCCAACCACAACACCCACCACCACGUCACCUGGGACUCCAACUCCGACCCCCACAAAAGCCACAACAAAGAUUCCAACUCCGACCACUACGGAGACCCCAACCACAACAUCCACCACCACUUCAACUGGGACUCAAACUGCGACCCACAGCACAACCGCAACAGAGAUUCCAACUCCGACCACUACAGAGACCCGAACCACAACACCCACCACCACUUCACCUGGGACUCCAACUCCGACCCCCACAAAAGCCACAACAAAGAUUCCAACUCCGACCACUACGGAGACCCCAACCACAACACCCACCACCACUUCACCUGGGACUCCAAGUCCGACCCCCACCACAACCACAAGAGGGACUCCAACUCCGACCACUAGUGAGACCCCAACCACAACACCUACCACCACUUCAACUGGGACUGCAACUCUGACCCCCACCACAACCACAACAGAGGUUCCAACUCCGACCACUACAGAGACCCGAACCACAACACCCACCACCACUUCAACUGGGACCCCGACUCCAACCCCCACCACAACCACAAGAGGGACUCCAACUCCGACCACUAGUGAGACCCCAACCACAACCCCUACUGCCACUUCAACUGGGACUCCAACUAUGACGCCCAUGACAACCACAACAGAGAUUCCAACUCUGACCACUACAGAGACCCCAACCACAUCACCCACCACCACUUCAACUGGGACUCCUACUGUGACCCCCAGCACAACCACAACAGAGAUUCCAACUCCGACCACUACAGAGACCCGAACCACAACACCCACCACCACUUCACCUGGGACUCCAACUCCGACCCCCACAAAAGCCACAACAAAGAUUCCAACUCCGACCACUACAGAGACCCCAACCACAACACCCACCACCACUUCAACUGGGACUCCAAGUCCGACCCCCACCACAACCACAAUAGGGACUCCAACUCCGACCACUACAGAGACCCCAACCACAACACCCACCACCACUUCAACUGGGACUCUGACUCCAAUCCCCACCACAACCACAAGAGGGACUCCAACUCCGACCACUAGUGAGACCCCAACCACAACACCUACCACCACUUCAACUGGGACUGCAACUCAGACCCCCACCACAACCACAACAGAGGUUCCAACUCCGACCACUACAGAGACACGAACCACAACGCCCACCACUACUUCAACUGGGACUCCAACUCCGACCCCCACAAGAGCCACGACAAAGAUUCCAACUCCGACCACUACGGAGACCCCAACCACAACACCCACCACCACUUCACCUGGGACUCCAACUCCGACCCCCACAAAAGCCACGACAAAGAUUCCAACUCCGACCACUAUGGAGAUCCCAACCACAACACCCACCACCACUUCAACUGGGACUCCAACUGUGACCCCCAGCACAACCGCAACAGAGAUUCCAACUCUGACCACUACAGAGACCCGAACCACAACACCCACCACCACUUCACCUGGGACUCCAACUCCAACCCCCAC
rnacentral:lncRNA from 1 species